rnacentral:rRNA from 1 species
CAAUAGCGUAUAUUAAAGUUGUUGCGGUUAAAAAGCUCGUAGUUGGAUUUCUGCUGAGAACGACCGGUCCGCCCUUUGGGUGUGUAUCUGGCUCUUUCUUGGCAUCUUCUUGGUGAACGUUGCUGCACUUGACUGUGUGGAGCGCUACCCAGGACUUUUACUUUGAGGAAAUUAGAGUGUUUCAAGCAGGCAUACGCCUUGAAUACAUUAGCAUGGAAUAAUAAGAUAGGACCUCGGUUCUAUUUUGUUGGUUUCUAGAGCUGAGGUAAUGAUUAAUAGGGAUAGUUGGGGGCAUUCGUAUUUAACUGUCAGAGGUGAAAUUCUUGGAUUUGUUAAAGACGGACGACUGCGAAAGCAUUUGCCAAGGAUGUUUUCAUUGA